ensembl:lncRNA
AGUAAGGUUUUUUAUGAUCCCAAUUUUUAUGAACAUCAACAGGACUUAAAUGAUUUUCAGACUCACACUUUCUGUAACUGAAAUCAGUAUUGUCAUGCCUUCCCUCUUUCUUCUCUGACCUGCUGCUAAGAUGUAAACUUCCUGGACUAGGAUCAGGACUGCUCCUUAUUAUUGCUAUUAAUAACACAUAAGACAUUGUAACGACAUCUUCUGUGGUUGGACUUGAUGAUCUUGAAGGUCUUUUCCAACCUGAGCAAUUCUAUGGUUAAGAACCCACUCAUAGCCACAGGUCUGAGAGGUCUCAGGAAUUAAAUUAUGAAUUUAUGCAAGAACCUUUACUUUAAAAUCACUAACAGCCCUGAGCCAAGAUGAACAUGGUACAUAUCGAAACUGUGCUUGCUAAAAUCUGUAGCUUCUGAUACAGCAAGGAAAAAGCGUUUUAUAGACUUGCAGCCAGGCUGGGUAUAUAGCAGCAGAGUAACAUGGCUUCUCUGUGCUGCAUCUUGUAGCAGUGACUGACAUUUAAUAUUGCACUGUUCAUUAAGCAUAAGGUACCAGAGGCGGAUCUCAUAAAAAGAAGUAAUAAGGAUGUAUUUGUCAUCCACGGUUCAAAUGCCUGUAAUUGAAAAAUCUCAGGUGUUGCCUGCACCUUCCAUAUAUACUUUCAAGAUACUAUUUUAAAUUUCUGAAUUCUAUACAAUCUAAUUCUAGUUUCAAAUAUUGGAUUGGGCUGCUCAAGGAAAUGGUGGAGUCCCCAUCCCUGACGUGUGGAUGUGGCUCUAAGAGAUAUGGUUUAGUGACAGGACUCAAUAGGUCAGGUUGAUGGUGGGAACUGAUCUUGAAAUUCUUUUCCGACCUAAAUGAUUCUGUGAUUCCAUGAACUGGUAUUAAAACUCUUUAGAGCAGCAUUUCCUCCCUUCUCUCGGGGAUUUGGACCCCAAAUCAAGGUUUCUAUGUAUCAUAGAACAAAGGUUUGUGGGAUUUUUUGCUUGCUAGAUGAUAAAAAAUCUCAGCUUCUUGGAGAUCUCACAGCCUUCAGAAGGCUCGUGAUCAGUUUAGUUGAGGAUGCUGCCAAUAACAGUUCAUAAAAGUGGGCAACAGACGAGGGGGUGAAGUCUGUCCUUGCUUAUUUGUUUAUUUUUUCAUGGUAGAGAUUUUUGUUUCUGUAAGUCCCUAAAUCAAUUUUAGUUUCUGUUAUCAGUUGCAUAAGCCAUAAGUACUUUUCUUCUGGACUCCUGGACCUGAUGGUUUGCAGUCACAGUGCUGGAUGGACAGUUACUUGCUGCAGGAUCUUCCAGGAUUAAAAUCACAUCUUACAAGGCUAAGAACUCCAAAGGCUAUGGUGAGGAACUGGUAGCUUUAUCUCAAUGUAGACUGCGAUGGCUUUGUGUGCCUUUGAAAUUGCCACGCUCUUCAAAGAAAAAGGAAGUGCUUUAAGUGUUUUUCCUUCUCCUUCAGCCAGGAGCCGCGUUUUGGAAUGAAGCUCAAGUUUGAGUAAAGGAAGUGUUCAAAAUUUUAAAAUGUUGUGAUAAAUACUGCAUGACAUCGGUGUAAAACAGGUGCCCGCUGUACACAGGACUGUGCUUUGCUUUGUGUCAGAUCUCUUGAACAUCAGAAGUUUCAGAUCGUUCUGGAAUCGGUUUUAUAAAUGAGGGCUGGACGACUCAAAAGUGCAAAGCAUAAUGGCAAUAGAAAACUGCAUCUCAGGAGCUGAACUUACGUCUUUUUUCUUUCUCACCCCCUCAUUUUUAUCUACAUUUAUCAUUAUUACCUGCAUAGAGCAAUAACGUUUUGAAGAAAUGCCUGAUUUUUGAUGCCUCAGUUAUUUGAUGUCUUUUUUCAAGACAUUUUACAUUUCAGAGAGUGAGUCAGACACUUUAAACAUCCAGACUGGCUGCUUAUACCUUUUCUGAGCUGUAUUUUUUGUCUCUGGAUACAAAGUAAAUUCCUUUAAUGGAUUUAUUAUCAAGAAGAUUCAAAAAAGCAUUAGCUUCACUCUUCUACUCUCUUGACUGCAGUUUAGCAUCUCACUCUGUGGAGGGUUUGAAAGGCAUGGAAAAUAUAAAAGGACUCUGUGCCACAAUUAGGAAACGUGGAUUUCUCCCUCGCAGAAACUUCUGCUGUGGACUCUUCUCCAUCUUGUGUCUGAUGCAAAGGCUUAUGCCUGCCCUGUGAGCUACUGCUGGAGGAUUAAGGGAGGACUGAGAUCCCCCAUUGACACCUUUAGAGCUUGAGACCAGUGAACUCUUCCUGUCUUUCAUAAACUAUGCUCUGUGUGACUUCUGAAGGUGCUCUGGAUACAAAUUGAAACUGAGCUAAUUUGGAUUACCAUUACUGCAGUGUCUAUUAGACAUCAGGCAACGCAGUCUCUGCUAUUCAAAGGCGAAGUGCUACGCCUCAGUGUCUCCCCUCAAAUCACCUCUGUAGACCAAAGCUACACAUCUGUCCUUCUGCCAAGUCUACGAAGCUCAUAGUUUCAGAAAACCGAUGCGCUCCCAUCCACUGAAAGGAAAACUGUGAGCUAAUAUCCUGUCUUCAUGCUACAAGAAUUUGUAGAUGAAAACAAAUGCACCCCUUAUCUAUAAAAUGAUUGUUUGUUCUACAGUAUUUAUGACACCUCUCCAUUGCUAUCUCUUCCUAGGUUAUGGUAAACCAAGAUGAUGCUUUAUAUUUCUGCAUCAGUCUAGCCAUGGAAAAUUAGAUUUAGUAAACAGAGAAUCUUAAUAAUCUUAAUGUCCUUCUCAAAGAGAAAUGAAUCAAAUUAUCAUAAUGAUUAAAUUACAGUUCUGUUGUUUCGUAAAAGCACAACAAUAAAUAAGUGGGGACAUUGCCAAUACUUCAGACUCCACUGAAGAUUCGCUGGCAUGCCCAUGAGUGCCUUGGCAAACUGCAGCCGUUGUCCUCUUAUCAAAAAGAAAUAUCUAUACCUUUGCACCAUAGCAAACAUACCAUGCAAUAUUAACUUCAUGCUAUAUCCACAUGAUUCAUUUAAAAGCAGUUAAACAACAAACCAAAGCAAUGUUUUUGGGUCCAGGAUGUAGAGCACCUCAUCUACAUGAGAGGAAUGAUGUGAAUUUGCAGCCCCGUAUGUGGACUGAAAAUAGCACUGAAAGAAAUCAUGGCUUGAUUCCCUUGGUUAAAAGUGGCCUCCUGCACUACACUGCUGAGCUCUUUCUUUGCUGUUGUGAAAAAUUUCCUUUUCACUGUCUGUAGCAGGAAUUAGAGGUGUAGCUUUUCAACGGCUCUUUAUUGCUGCAGAGAAUUACAAAGGAGGACAAAUCAUAGACGUUGCAAAAAUAAUGAGAAUUCAAGGCUAUUUCUGGAUUAUAGUGAUGUGAGGAUGCUUUGGUAUUUUUGUAACACUAGAAAUCUUAACAGCUCUCAAUUCCAGUUCUGGAGCAUUGAAAAGAUCUCUCUGUUUACACUCUGCUAAUCCCAGCACCAAAGCACUAGCUGCUAAUUGAUCUCCUUUUUCUAUCAAGGCCCAUACUGCAGUCCAGUAAAAGUAUUUUUGAUUCUCUGGAGGAAUAAAGUGGGGCAGGAAAGAGGCAUGGCUCUUUCAGGGAGAAAAAGAAACAAAAGGAUUGGGCAAGAAUUAAAAAUGGGAAGAAUCAGAGCAGAGGUGGAAAAAGAUAAUCAGAGAUGAUUAAUCAGACAAAAUGAGAAGAUUGAGGAGGCUGAGAAAGGGACACUCUUUUAAGAAUUGUAGUCAUUAGAAGGGAGUUUGAUGUUUUCAUGUGUUCUUUUUUUGCUAUAUUCAACACAAAUGUAGCAUAACUGAUUAGUUAUCACAUUAUCAUUAACAACACUGGGGACCAAAGAGAGGAUGAAUUAUUCAUGUAAAACCAGUACAAAUAGACACUUGAGGACAUAAUUUGUUUCCUAUCUUCCUCUAAAAGUAGCAAUUCUCUGUCUUUUUUUUUUUUCCUAUUCCUUUAAAGAAAAAAUUGGGAAGGAAAAAAGCAAAAAAGUCUAUUUUACAAUAAUCGGUGAAGUCGAUCUGAGGGAAGAAAAAAAGAACUUUACUGCUUACAAAGGAAUUUCCCAGUGUGCUGAGUUAAAUGCAUUGCUAUUUUAAAGCAUUUUAGAUAAUGUAUAUCUUUGUGACACUACAGCGGCAGCUCAGUGAAAGAGCCUCUCAGCUAACCUUGGUAAGUACCUACUGCAUUCUGGUACCCCACUUCCAGUGCAGUUGAACCAAAUAUUCCCUUUAGAACAAAUUAGAGCACAAAACAUGUCAAGCCUUCCUCUAAAAGCCUUGGAAACUUAAACAGAAAGCCUGUUAUAUCUGCGGGCUGAAUUGCCAACAAAGAUGCUCUGUGCUUUUUGGUUUGCAGAGACGAAACAUUCAGAGCACUAUUAGGUCCUUUCCUAACGCAUCGUAACAAGGAACUGAUCACUGCCACUCUUGUACAGCACCAAUUGUGAUAAAUACACAGAACUAAUUGCAAUGAAUAUGGAAUUCUGUAGGAAUCCCACCAUUUCAUUUAGUCUGAACUGAUAUAACCAGUAAUUCAGGCUUGAAUCCACAGUGGGAUCCUUUUGUGAGUAUCAGCGCAGGAGAAACAGAUCUUUCUACCAAAAACAGUUCUGCAGUACAAUAUUUACAUACAGCAGCAUUGUACAGCUUAAUGUUAAAGCUUUCUCUCUACCAUCACAUGGUAUAAGAGCUAAUUCUUUAAAACUGGUUGAUUAAAAUCUGUCUGCAGUUGUAGAAAGUAAAAUAUGUAUGAACUGAUUUAGCUCCAGUUUGCUCAAUUAUCGUAAUUUAGAAAUCAAUACAUAACAUUUCAUAACGUGUUUUAAAAGGCAAAUAAAUAUUUCAGAUUUGCCUUAGGCUUUCCUAGGAAAAAUUGCACAGAAGCUGAACUGCUGAUUUCUGAUUCCAAGAAGAAACACAUUUGAAUGAGAAAAUGAAAGCUAAACGUUGAUGGUGAAAUUAGAACGGCCAGCAUCCGCCCUGCUGCAGCCUGGGAUGGCACCCAGCUCAGGGGAGCUGAUUCCCAUUAUUUUAUGUCAUCGAUUCACAUUAUUUUAUGUCAUCUUUAUCAACCACUGUCAUCAUUUUCAUCUUAUGCACGACAGUCACUCUCUGGCUCACCUUGACCAAUGCACUUAGAUUUGCCACAUCACGCAGUUGUUGAUGUCUAGGACUGUAGGUUUAUUCCAUUGAUGGUGCUUACUUUCCCUGCUAGGGAGCAUUGAUCAGACUGACUUGGAACAAAGACUGCUUUGUGUUGUGAGCCGGGACACAACCAUUGUGUUUAAUUAGUAAGCAGUCUUUGUUUUGCACACAAUCAGAUCCUCAGCCUACUUGAGCUGCAGAGCUGCUGAUUUUUUAGCAUGUAGAUACUAUAGAA